GUGUCUUCCCUGAUGACGAGGGUGGCGGUGAUGCACCUCACGGGGUGGAGGACCCCGCCCGGUAUGGAAGCCAAGCAUCCCCCUCCCCCCUGUUCCUCCAUCCCCUGCCAAAUGCCGAGCCCCACUUCUGCUGGUGGCAGGGUCAGGCAGCAGUUUCGUGAGGAAGUCAGAGCGAUUUAUCGCCACUGAUGCUGGCAGUCAGAGCCUCGAUGGCGAGGCAUCCAAGCGACCCGCGACAGCGAACACGCUAGUGCCAUCCAUAGGAUUAGGCAGAGUGCCCGCGCGACUCGAAGGUAUAUAAGUUACCACCACCCCUCACGCUGCCCUGCUGGUGUGGGGAUGGGGCCUGCGUACCACCCCCAGGGGAGGAUGCACCAGCUGGAAACCAACAUGAUGGGAAGAGCGGAUCUGGGGCAACCUGCGAGGCGGCUGUGGUGGGUAGCGUUCGAGGCCGAGGCAGCGCUCAGAUGGCCGAGUCGGUGCAUUGCUGUAACACGUGUGUCUGCGACCGCUUCGCGCGACGCGAAGGCCUCCUGCUAUGCGGGAGAGGGUAAUUUGGAGUGCAGUGGAGCUUAUGUUGUAUGGCAAACAUCGGGACCACCUUGAAGAGGAUGUUGUUUUGGUCUACAUCUCUUGCGCUUGUGUAGAGCCUGGGAAUGUGUUGAGGGGCCCUUCUACCGGUGGUACACGCGCUCACACAAGCGCAUCGAUCAAUGUACGGCAGGC
rnacentral:misc_RNA from 1 species